rnacentral:rRNA from 1 species
AUUGAACGCUGGCGGCAGGCCUAACACAUGCAAGUCGAACGAGUGGCGGACGGGUGAGUAAUGUCUGGGAAACUGCCUGAUGGUGGGGGAUACCUCCUGGAAACGGUAGCUAAUACCGCAUACCAUCGGAUGUGCCCAGAUGGGAUUAGCUAGUAGGUGGGGUAACGGCUCACCUAGGCGACGAUCCCUAGCUGGUCUGAGAGGAUGACCAGCCACACUGGAACUGAGACACGGUCCAGACUCCUACGGAAGGCAGCGGUGGGGAAUAUGGCACAAUGGGCGCAAGCCGGAGGCAGCCAUGCCGGGGGUAUAGAGAAGGACUGCGGGAUGUAAGGUACUUGCAACGUGGAGGCGUUACACACAGAAGAAGCGCCGGCUAACUCCGUGCCAGCAGCCGCGGUAAUUC